CUCCUGCUUCAGGCUUCCAAGACUCACACAGAUGAAUGCUAUCACACCUGGCUUACGGAAGACAUUUUCAUUCCUGUUAAGACCAUAAGUGCUGUGAUAUCUCAAAGUCAUUAGUACUGAUGACCCAUGCCUGUAAACCCUUGGCUACAUACUGUGUUCAAGCCAAGCCUGGGAUACAUAAGACCUUGCAAAAAACAGGAGGCUGGAAGAGAAGAUAAAUAAGCUGCCCGAAAACACACCUAACAGGAGCCAUGCCAUUUGUUUGGGGCAGUUCAAUGUUUGUUGACUGGCUUUACACAUGUAGUAUUUGAAGCAAUGUACCACUGAGUUAAAAUAAAAACUAAUACAUGUGGUUUUAUCUAUGUU